CCCUUAGAUGUCCUGGGCCGCACGCGCGCUACACUGAUGAAUGCAACGAGUUUAUAACCUUGGCCUGAAAGGUCUGGGUAAUCUUUUGAACGUGCAUCGUGAUAGGGAUAGAUUAUUGCAAUUGUUAAUCUUGAACGAGGAAUUCCUAGUAAACGCGAGUCAUCAGCUCGCAUUGAUUACGUCCCUGCCCUUUGUACACACCGCCCGUCGCACCUACCGAUUGAAUGGUUCGGUGAAGAUCUCGGACUUCGAUAUUUAUUCUUUAUUGAGUUUAUAUUGUGGGAAGUUAUCUAAACCUCAUCAUUUAGAGGAAGGUGAAGUCGUAACA
rnacentral:rRNA from 1 species